rnacentral:lncRNA from 1 species
CCCAUUCUUCAAAAUAUUUGACGAUCUAUAGGAAAAUCCGUCGUAGAUUAUGCAUUUUUUUCCUCUGUUCGUUUCUGUAUGUACUAGGUCCAUUUUUAUGUGUGAUCAAAUGUUGAGUGUGAUUACCUUUUUAUGUCUACGGAUAAGGUGAACACUUUUAAAACAAAUAAUUUUCAUUGGGUUUCUCAAUGAAGUUUAACUAAUCCCUACCAGAGUCAACUAGUUAUAUCUAGUAUAUUGUAGAUAUAAGAUAGAUCAGAACCUUUUCUUUAUUAAAAAAAAAAUAAUAAUAAUUUAUCUUAUAUAUGAUAUUCAAAUAUUUAAAUAUUUAUAAUUUACAAUUUACCAGGUAAAUUUGCGGAAAAGUAAUAAAUACAAAUUGCGGAAACGUAUACUUUAAAUUUGCGGAAACGUAGUAUUGGGAUUUUGAAAAAUUAGCGGAAAUGCAAUACGCCCA